UAGGGAAUCUUCGGCAAUGGGGGCAAUCCUGACCGAGCAACGCCGCGUGAGUGAAGAAGGUUUUCGGAUCGUAAAGCUCUGUUGUAAGAGAAGAACGUGUGUGAGAGUGGAAAGUUCACACAGUGACGGUAACUUACCAGAAAGGGACGGCUAACUACGUGCCAG
rnacentral:rRNA from 1 species